rnacentral:rRNA from 1 species
GCAACGCCGCGUGAGCGAUGAAGGCCUUCGGGUCGUAAAGCUCUGUUGUUAGGGAAGAACAAGUACCGGAGUAACUGCCGGUACCUUGACGGUACCUAACCAGAAAGCCACGGCUAACUACGUGCCAGCAGCCGCGGUAAUACGUAGGUGGCAAGCGUUGUCCGGAAUUAUUGGGCGUAAAGCGCGCGCAGGCGGUCCUUUAAGUCUGAUGUGAAAGCCCACGGCUCAACCGUGGAGGGUCAUUGGAAACUGGGGGACUUGAGUGCAGAAGAGGAAAGCGGAAUUCCACGUGUAGCGGUGAAAUGCGUAGAGAUGUGGAGGAACACCAGUGGCGAAGGCGGCUUUCUGGUCUGUAACUGACGCUGAGGCGCGAAAGCGUGGGGAGCAAACAGGAUUAGAUACCCUGGUAGUCCACGCCGUAAACGAUGAGUGCUAAGUGUUAGAGGGUUUCCGCCCUUUAGUGCUGCAGCUAACGCAUUAAGCACUCCGCCUGGGGAGUACGGCCGCAAGGCUGAAACUCAAAGGAAUUG